ACGUAAAAUCAUACGAAGAAGAAUGGGCCUUUGGAAGAGGCGAGGGAGCUUGUGGCGUGGUCAGAAAAGAAGCCACGUCUACAGAGAGACGAGUUUUUAAGAGGAAAUAUGAACAAACACUGAGUUGCAGUAAGUACAUUAAGAGCUCCUGGCAUUCAUUUUGGGGUCAUGUCUCUGAAGAUGGAGAGCACAGCCAUGAGCCCAGCUCCACGGUGGCAAGCACUCGGGACAAAAUUCUUCAACACCAGGGGCCUCGUUUAUAAAAUCAUCUUGGAAUUCAUCCUAAAUGAAUUUUUUCUAUCACAUUAUCUUUGGUGGUCGCCUCGCAGCAAGAACUUUGUGGGUUCGAAUCUUGGCUUGGGGCCUUUCUCUGCAUGUUCUCCCCGUGUCCGCGUGGGUUUCCUCUGGGUACUCCGGUUUCCUCCCACAGUCCAAGGACAUGCAGAUCAACGUUUGUAAGCGUGUAUGCUAUUCGAGGUAACGGAAACUAGUCCAAGAGGAAACAGAGUGUCUGAAGAAGGAUCAAAACAACAAGCAGAGAAUACCAGAGCGAACUCCAAACUAGAAUGGACCUGGCGACUCGAAAAACUGCCGCGUAGGGAGACAGGAAGAACGGAGAGAGAAAAAGAUACGUGAGCAAGGUCGCACGCCAUAUUGGAACCACCAACAUUGCAGCUGGCAACUGGCAUGUGGACGCUGCCCUACAGCUGAACCUGCAAGCUGAACCUGUAGGUCAUUUCUCUUUUAUUGUGACUUCUCGUGUUUAUAUAUUCUCUUUUUUUGGCGGGAGCACUGCCUGCCUGGCACCCUUAUAGUAUGAUAGUUGCUGUCACUUUGCUAGUCAACAUGGCUACAGGGUUAGUCAGAUGUUUUGUUUCUUUUUUAAACAGCACUGCAAAAGCAUUAAACUCUAACACAACUUGGGUGUCUUUACUAAAAUUCAGUUCUAAAUCUAAUGGAUGUCUCCUGUAUAAAUAAACCUUUUACCCACAGAUACAGAGGUCUGAAUUAAUGGCCUUUUGUCAUCUGGCUAGUUUGGCACUACAGCUGUGGACAGAUUUGAUUGGAAAUCACAGAAGCAAUAGUUUCUGGCUGGUGCAGCAGUUCUUUAGGUAAAAUUCUGUUUACAUUGAAGUUUUAAAUGCAAUAUUUAGCAAUAUUUCAUUACUAAAGUCUAUUACAGUUACAAACAGAUUCAUAACAGAUAUUUAAGUGCUUUUUAACCGUAAGUAAAUAAUUGAUAGCUUGCUCAUGAACUCUUUUCAUAAUUUAUUUUAAUUUUGGCAGUUGCUGAAUUGACUGGAUUCAGCCAAGUAUUUAUGGUGGAUUCCAGGAGAAUGUUUGGACAAACAGACAUGACUUGUCACACUACCAGGGAUAUCACCUGUAUAUACACAGAGAGGCUAGUUGAUUGAUAUUAAUAAUUAAAGUAAACAAUGCAUAUAGCUACAUGUUUACCUGCCAAUAUUAUAAUGGAUUUGUGAAGUUUCUUGAUUUCAGUUUUAGAUGUUGGAUAUUUCUAGAUAUCUGAAAUAAAUUUAUAAUAAUGUGAGACAAAGUAAUGAUUAGGCAGUUGAACACACCAUAGUCAACUUGUUCUUUCAAUUUGUCUUUCACCACUGAAAUCCCCAUCCAAAAAAUGGGACAUUCUAUACCAUUACAAAGUGACAGGCUUGGCCUGCACAGGGAUUCUCCUUUUGCACUGGCAUGUUCCAGCCCAGCUGGACCUGUGCUGGAGCUUUUGCACGGGUUCAGAUGUGAUCUGAGCUGGCAAGGCCCGAUCCAGGAACGGCCCGGUUUAAUUUCUGGUGCUGGCAGGUUUAUAAACGAGCUGGGAGUGAGCAGUUGCACCCACAACCGUCACUGAAUUUUGCCAUGAAGACAUGCCAGUAAACCACUGAACAGAUGAAUGCAGACAGCCCAGUCAAUACAUUAAACAAAUGGCUGUAUUUAUCUACGAUUAGUCUUGAACCUAGUGUACAAGUCUAGGCUAUAUUUACAUACUUUAAAAUAAACAGCGAUAAUAUUGGUGAACAAGAACAAGGCAUAAUGUUGUUGCUAUAAAAUCCCUGGUUUCACUUUCCCCAAUGAGUGUUUGGUGCCUGCAUGCAUGAUUGCCUCAUGUCUGUGUCACCAAAUGUAUGCUUUUUUGCAAGAACAAAAUACCUGCAUCAGAAAUGAAAUCAGCUCCUCAUAGCCCUUCAAUGUUGGAAUCCAUCUAAAAAGCCAGUGGUACCCACAACACACUGCUGUGUUCAUGAUGGUACUUGGUAUGCCCUGGAUUGCCAGUGGCUAACAGAGUAUAAUGGAAAAGCAGUUUCAUCCAUGCAUGCCAUUUUGGAUCUACUCGGGUCCAAUACAGCUUUGCUCAAGUGUGCCAGUGCAAAAGAGAUGAGAGAUCUGGCUCUGACUCAUAAUUAGUUGACACGUAAACCAGUGUUUAGCAUGAAGCAUCCCGUAUGCUUCUUAGGGCUGUCCUCAGUCAAGAAAGGAAGAAACAUUGUCAUGUUAUACCAUCUAAUGCAAUAUGUAUGUGGUAUAUGCAGUAUGCUGUAUGCCAGCAAAAUAGCACGAAAACACAGGUAUGUGAAAGUGUACUGCUGAGAAAGAAAUGUAUUAACUUAUGUAUAGAAUUUUGUUUAAAUCAGGUUUACUUUGUAUACUGUGUUUGCGUUUGACUGACUGUGUGUGUGUCUGUGUAAUGAUGUUAAAUUAAUUAAAUAUGAGUGAUUUUAGAAAAUA